CAACUGAAUCAACCCCAUUUGCCGUUUCACUUGCAAGACACCUACACACUGUUGUUUGGUUCUGCGAUGUAUGGAGCAUUUUGGUGUUCUCAUUACAAUGAGCAAAAACUGACCAAAAAGUGCUAAAUAUGCAAGUCUUGACGCUAAAAGAUUUAUCAUCCCAAGAUUCAACUGGAAGGUUCUUGUGUGUGCUGCUCGAAUAUGGAAGUGUAGGCAUCAGAAAAACAAAGCAGAACUUAUAUGAGCUAGAGUUUAUUGUCGAUGAGGCUGAAGAUCAAAGAAGAAGCACAUAUCAGGUGUGCCACCAAGGAGUAGGUUAUCCCCGACACGGUUGGCAAAGGCAUGGAAAUUAGCCUCCUUUUCUCUGACAAAGAAGAGGUGACUCUGGUAAAUACUGAUUGCCCUCCAAGUAGAAAUAAUAAGGUUUUCCAAAAAUUGUGUUCUAUGUUUUUACGUCCCAGUUACCAAGUGUAAUGUGCAUACGAUGGCUUCCAAGGAUUGCAUAGUCAGUUUUUAUCUUUGAUGGUGUAAUAAAAGUUGCGACGAGAUCCCAUACAUGUACCACAUGCAUCAACAUUGUUGCUUUUUCUUUUUGCGAAUUCAUCUACAUUGUUGCUUGAUAGAUGAUUUAUCUGACAACUUGGACAGAAAUAAUGCUGCGAUGAACGAGCAUUCAAUCAAAAGUAUGCGUCCACUCUAAAAAUACCACUUAUUAUUCUUUAACUCACAGACACAUGUUGGGCGCGGCGUGCCGCCGUGCCAG